UGUGGGGUCUUAUUCAUUGACUCCAUGGGUAAAUGGAGUUAUUUGGGUGUGGAUUAAAAGGAAUUUGGUUCAGAUGAACUGGCCGACACAAAUUUUUGUACGAGUCUAAUUUCCACCAUUUAAAGUAACACAUUCUGUUAAAAAUAAACAUUUAAAAAAAACAAACAAACAGCUCAGCUUCUUCUGUAUGUCAAGGUAAGGCGAGAAACCGGUGAAUUAUACAUGACAGAUACAAAACAAACUGUAAUCUCGGGGUCCGUAUCUGGAUUACCCUAUUAACUCAGGGAGACACUAGGCAAAUGUAUUCAACCAAAAAGAAACA